rnacentral:misc_RNA from 1 species
GAUGAAGAACGUAGCGAAACGCGAUAGUUAAUGUGAAUUGCAGAAUUCAGUGAACCAUCGAAUCUUUGAACGCACAUUGCGCCCGGCAGUAAUCUGCCGGGCAUGCCUGUCCGAGCGUCAUUUCUGCCCUCGAGCGAGUUCCAGCAUCUAGGUGCUGGGGCCCGCCCGGCGUUGGGGCACUACGGGAGAGCACCUGUGCUGCCCGUAGGCCCUGAAAUGAAGUGGCGGUCCUGCCGCGGCGCCCCCUGCGUAGUAUAACAGCUCGCUUCGGGACCCGGUGGAGGCCAGCCGUCAAACCUAUAUUCUCUAAGUUUGACCUCGGAUCAGGUAGGGUUACCCGCUGAACUUAAGCAUAUCAAUAAGCGGAGGA